CUCGUCUACUGGAGCAAAAGUAAAUUUUAAUAAAAUCGUAAUUUCUUAUAUUUGUUGCAAGAGUUUGCAUUUCAUUUUCGAUAGGACUUGCAAUCUAUAAAGAUAAUAGGUCACUUUUAAAAAGAGAAAGCUAUUUUAAAUGAUGGACUUCCUAAAUAAUCGUCUGCUUUAAGAAGCUAUUUAGGAUUGUUUUGUUCUAUAUUGUUGGUGCUAGUAAAAGCAGCCGUUUGAAAAAGCAGUUUUACCAGUUCUGUUAGCGUCUUUUUAAAGGAAAACUUUGGCGUUGUGUUUAAUUCGAAUUUUUACCAGUUCUGUUAGCAUCUUUUUAAAGGAAAACUUUGGCGUGGUGUUUAAUUCGAAU